AUUUGUUUCUGGGUUCUGCAGCUGUGGGAGUUGGUUUCUGGGUUCUCCAUUGGUCUACUUGUCUAGUCCCAUACCAGACUCACGGUCUCCAUUAUUGGAGCUUUAAUAAUUUUUGGUAUAGGGUCAUCUCUCCACCUUGUUUUUCUUCUAUUCUUGGUUCUUUGCAAUUCUAUGAAUAUUUCAGGGUCAGCAUGUCAACUCCAUUGAAAAACCCUGCUGGGAUUUUAAUAGAACUUACAGCUCACGCCUGUAAUCUCAGCACUUUGGGAGGCUGAGGUGGGUGGAUCACAAGGUCAGGAG
rnacentral:lncRNA from 10 species